GACGUAGGGUGCGAGCGUUGUCCGGAUUUAUUGGGCGUAAAGAGCUUGUAGGCGGUUUGUCGCGUCUGCUGUGAAAUUUCGGGGCUCAACCCCGAACUUGCAGUGGGUACGGGCAGACUAGAGUGUGGUAGGGGAGACUGGAAUUCCUGGUGUAGCGGUGAAAUGCGCAGAUAUCAGGAGGAACACCGAUGGCGAAGGCAGGUCUCUGGGCCACUACUGACGCUGAGAAGCGAAAGCAUGGGGAGCGAACAGG
rnacentral:rRNA from 1 species